rnacentral:misc_RNA from 1 species
GAUGAAGAACGUAGCAAAAUGCGAUAAGUAAUGUGAAUUGCAGAAUUCAGUGAAUCAUCGAAUCUUUGAACGCACAUUGCGCCCGCCAGUAUUCUGGCGGGCAUGCCUGUUCGGGCGUCAUUUCAACCCUCAAGCACAGCUUGGUGUUGGGACUCGCGUUAAUUCGCGUUCCCCAAAUUGAUUGGCGGUCACGUCGAGCUUCCAUAGCGUAGUAGUAAAACCCUCGUUACUGGUAAUCGUCGCGGCCACGCCGUUAAACCCCAACUUCUGAAUGUUGACCUCGGAUCAGGUAGGAAUACCCGCUGAACUUAAGCAUAUCAAUAAGCGGAGGA